CCCUAAGACAAAGCUGAUGGAAGCAGGCUCAGCCACAGAACUCUGCUGCAGAACCCAUCCCUGUGAAGUGACAAUGGAUGGCAGAACAGAUGUUCAAGUGCAAUGCCCUAGUUGGUGGCAGUGUGAACAGUGUAUUUGAGAGGGAAGCCCAGCAAGGACUACUCAGUUACUGAGGGAAGCUGUUUGUAGGAAGAGCUACUGAUGCCACUACAUGACAGAGGUUUGAUGAUGGCUUACUGCCUUUCUGUAAAGGAUGAGAAUAUGAUCUAGGGUAUGGCUUGUAAGGCGUCUAUAAACAAAAGCAGAAUACAAAGACAAUCCCUGAUACCUAUUGACUGUAUUCAGAACUGACCUGACUGGAGAAUCCAGGCCUUUGGCAUUUCCUCUGUUUGGGUUCUGGAUCCUUUCUGAGCAUGGAUUGUCAAUUUCACCAAACAAGGGCAAAAGGACUAAAUACA